AAUCAACGCUGGCGGCGUGCCUAACACAUGCAAGUCGCACGAGAAAGGGUCUUCGGAUCUGAGUAAAGUGGCGCACGGGUGAGUAACAUGUGAAUUAUCUACCUUCGAGUGGGGAAUAACUCCGGGAAAUCGAGGCUAAUACAGCAUAUUAUCUACGGAUCAAAGCAGUAAUGCGCUUGAAGAGGAGUUCGCGGCAGAUUAGUUAGUUUGCGGGCUAAUGGCCCACCAAGACGAUGAGCUGUAUCCGGCCUGAGAAGGCGCACAGACACACUGGAACUGAAACACGGUCCAGACUCCUACGGGAGGCAGCAGUGGAGAAUUUUGCGCAAUGGGGGAAACCCUGACGCAGCAACGCCGCGUGGAGGAUGAAGUCUCUUGGGACGUAAACUCCUUUCGAUAGGGAAGAUUAUGACGGUACCUAUAGAAGAAGCCCCGGCAAACUUCGUGCCAGCCGCCGCCGUAA
rnacentral:rRNA from 1 species